CUGGUACUGAGACACGGACCAGACUCCUACGGGAGGCAGCAGUGAGGAAUAUUGCACAAUGGAGGAAACUCUGAUGCAGCAACGCCGCGUGGAGGAUGACGCAUUUCGGUGUGUAAACUCCUUUUAUGAGUCAAGAAAAUGACGGUAGCUCAUGAAUAAGCACCGGCUAACUCCGUGCCAGCAGCCGCGGUAAUACGGAGGGUGCAAGCGUUACUCGGAAUCACUGGGCGUAAAGGACGCGUAGGCGGGUUGGUAAGUCAGAUGUGAAAUCCUACAGCUUAACUGUAGAACUGCAUUUGAAACUACCAACCUAGAGUAUGGGAGGGGGAGAUGGAAUUAGUGGUGUAGGGGUAAAAUCCGUAGAUAUCACUAGGAAUACCUAAAGCGAAGGCGAUCUCCUGGAACAUUACUGACGCUAAGGCGUGAAAGCGUGGGGAGCAAACGGGAUUAGAUACCCCGGUAGUCCACGCCCUAAACGAUGAACACUAGUCGUCGGGAAGCUUGUCUUCUCGGUGAUGCACUUAACAGAUUAAGUGUUCCGCCUGGGGAGUACGGUCGCAAGAUUAAAACUCAAAGGAAUAGACGGGGACCCGCUCAAGUGGUGGAGCAUGUGGUUUAAUUCGAAGAUACGCGGAAGAACCYUUACCUAGCCUUGACAUUGAUUGAAUUUUCCAGAGAUGGAGAAGUGCCUUUCGGGGAACAUGAAAACAGGUGCUGCACGGCUGUCGUCAGCUCGUGUCGUGAGAUGUUGGGUUAAGUCCCGCAACGAGCGCAACCCUCGKUCCUUAGUUGCCAGCAGGUUAAGCUGGGCACUCYUAAGGAGACUGCCUUCGCAAGGAGGAGGAAGGUGAGGACGACGUCAAGUCAUCAUGGCCCUUAUGGCUAGGGCUACACACGUGCUACAAUGGGGCGUACAGAGAGUUGCGAUACCGCAAGGUGGAGCCAAUCUCAUAAAGCGUCUCUCAGUUCGGAUUGGAGUCUGCAACUCGACUCCAUGAAGCUGGAAUCACUAGUAAUCGUAGAUCAGCAAUGCUACGGUGAAUACGUUCCCGGGUCUUGKUACUCACCGCCCGUCACACCAUGGGAGUUGAUUUCACCCGAAAUUGGGAAGCYUAACCUUCGGGAGGCUACCACUUACGGUGGAAUUAGCGACUGGGGUGGAAGUCCGUUAACAAGGUUACCGUUAGGA
rnacentral:rRNA from 1 species